AUGAUGGAUAAAUUAGUAAAAAACACGCCAACAGAGAUUGUAACACGUGGUACCUACAAUACUCAUGCGAGCACUGUAUUACAUCACCGUGUCGAUAAUAUCAAAAAUGAGACAAAAAAUGACAUCCUAAUUUUAACUUACAAUAAAGAACUAGCUGUGCAAAUAUACGAAAUAUAUAAAGACAUUAUUAACUCUUUUUAUAAGUCUUAUAAUUCAUCUUUUUUCUCAAACAACGGUACAAUUUUGUUUAAUAAUACACACAUGACACUUCAAGAAGAAUAUAAAAAAAUUAUUGAACAAAUAAAUAUGAAUGAGAAAAAAAAGAAAAUUAAUAUGAAUGCUUACUUAUUAAUAGGUAAUAAUAAUAUCGUAUACCAACUAAAAAGUUUAAAAAAAAAAAAAAUGAACAUCGCUUUUGAACGUGUACAGGUUAAAAACGAUACUGUUGAAAGUAAAAGUAGUAUAACUACUAUAAACGAUAAAAAAAACGACUUAACAGAUGAAAAAAAAACAAUUGAAAAUAAUGUUACAAAUAUAAAUAUUUAUAUCGGCACACCAGGAAGAAUAAGUACAUUAAUAAAUGAAAAAAAAAUAAUACAAUUAAAAAAUAUAUCUACUAUAAUUUUAGACGAGUACGAUUUUUUUUUCAAUUCAUUUAAACAAAAUGCUAAACAAAAUAUGAAUAAGGUAGAGCUAGAAAAUAAAUUUGUUUCCAAUUUGUUAAAAAGUAUAUACACACACAAAAAAAUGAAUAGCAUCAAAAAUAUAAAUAAAAAAAAUAAUAAUAUUAAUUAUGUCAAUCAAGUAACAUCUACUAAUGUUAUAUGUUGUAGUGCCACUCCCGCGGUGUAUUCUUUUCUCCUAUAUACGAAACAUAUUAUUACUACAAACCUUUUGCAAGAUUUGCACGGUCAGGAUGUCCAAAAUGGGACUAGUCAGUGUUCUAGUAGUGGUGGAAGUAGUAGCCAUAGUGGUAGUAGUACCCAUAGUGGUAAUAGUAGCCAUAGUAGUAGUAGUAGUAGUAGUAGUAGCCAUAGUAGUAGUAGUAGUAGUAGUAGUAGUAGCCAUAGUGAUAGUAGUAGCAACAGUAACGGAACCAGUUGCAAAAUAUCCACAACCGAUUCAACAGUUACCAACGCUUUCAUAAAAAAUAGUAUACCAUUUAUUAAUUACGAACAAGAGAAAAAAAUGUUAUAUAAUUUAUUGCAUUUAGAGAAGGAUAUAAAAGUACCAAAUAAUUUAGUUCAUUUAAAUUACUACUAUAAUACAAAUAGGAAAAAUAAUAAUAGUUCUAUAUUUAAUCUUUUAAGAAUUUUAUUUUCAAAUCCUUUGAAUAAAAAUGUUCUAAUUUUUUGUAACACUAAGGUAUUUUUUUUUUUUUUAUUUAAAAUGAAUGCCUACACAAGUUUUAUUUUUUUUUAUUUUUGA
rnacentral:lncRNA from 1 species